AACAACAAUGGAUUAAAAAGAAGAAAGAGAAAAGAAAUAAGCUACUAAAUCUCCUUCUACCACCUUCUGCCGCCCUCCUUCAACCCUUCUACCCAAUUUCUGCGGCUCUCUUUCACAAACCCUAGGUACCAAUUCGCUUCUCAAGUAUCAAUUCACGCACCCAUACUUUUCAAUUGCAUUUCUGCAAAUAGUAACCUGUGUGAAUGCUGCAAUUUCUGAGCCUUUCUCGGCGGAAAUCGAUGCUCGCCCCUCACCUUCUCCUUGGAUUGUUUGAGAGAUUCUCCCAGCGUUAUAGGUUUUUGGCUCACCACCUCUAUGAUUCGUCGAAUAUGCCAAAUGUUCUUGCAGUGUUGUGAGAUGCAAUAUUUACUUAAAUGAUGGUAAAUGUCGUGGCUUGCUUUGAUGAGUGUUAGCGUCUGUCGCAGAUGACCUCUUUAGGUGAACGUGCUCAGUUCAUUUUCAAGUAACAUAUCUUUCAUAAGCUGCUACCUACUCCUGGUCAAAGGUGAUACAACAUUCGAUCGCGAUUGGAAGAAAAUUAAAGCAUUUAUUAGCUCUAAGAUUGUUAUUCAGGAAGUGCAGCCUUUUGCAAUUAGGGACCUUACCAAUCCCUACUUGAGCGUUUUUAGAAGAUCAUGCCUCCUGCUUUUCUUACCAUGGAUGGUCCCUCUUUUAAUUUUCACCGUUCUCGGCACUUUCAUGUAGAUUCUCGGUACCUGCAAGGCAGUUUACAUGAAUAAGUCAAACAAUCAUCAUCAACAUUAUCAGUUGCCAAGGUACCAAGGUAAUACAUCCCAAGAUCAAUUACUCCGCCCCCGUCCUUAUCAAAAUCCACGAAAAAGGCAGAAUCAGAAGACAAUGGUAUUAAACCUCAUAUCAGAGCUAGUUCAAUCCCAAGGCCACGCGCUGUGAUUUCUAGCCCUGGUAAAUUUUAUUACAUUUGACAACAACUGGAGUAACAAGUUUUAUUUCUGAUAUACUUGUUUGUUUUGGAACUUUCUUGUAAGGUUGGCUAUGAAGUGUAGAACUUUAUUGUCAAUAUCCAGCUACAUAUAUUAGGUAGAAUUCCUAUGAAGUUGAUAUUACCUUCCUAAUCAUCAUGACUUGUUUCAUCUUCUUUCCAUUUUCUUUUAGGAGCGACUAAAGAUGAUUAGGGUGCUCUGUGACCAGUCAUACUGAAAUCAGUCAGUCCCAAAUAAAUAAACCAGUUGAUUAGGGUGCUCUGACCUGUAGUGGUACUCAAAAAACUUGUUGAGAAAUUUUACCAGGUGUCUGAUAUAUCCCACAAGUCUGCUGCACUUUUUAUAAGUGUUUGCUUGAUCUACCUUGAAAAAUGUAAUUUGAGUGACUCAAAUGAUAUUGUUAAUUUUCAUUUGAUUUUAAAAUGUGUUCAUCAUAUAUAUAUAUAUAUAAAUUGUGACGCUCCAAAGGGU